CUUAUAUUUUGACUUAAUUAAUUGAAAAGUUCCAACUUUUUGUUUUUUAAUAGAAAAAGACAGGAUACCUGGUAAACAUUUAGAAAAAAAAAAUCCUUUUUGCUAGGCUUUGCAUACUCCACAUUGCAAUUUGGGAAGACAGAUUUUUUGCAAAAAAUUAAAAGAUUAGGUCCUCAGAUUUACUAUAGCAAGCAAAUACAACAUAUUUUUAUUCUUUAGUCUUUUUGAUGUAAUGUCAUUGGCUAAAAGUCUUAACAAAAGUUUGCAUCCAAUUGAAGCUUUGUUGCUGAUAUUUUCCAUGAGUUGCAUGAAGAAGUGACAAUUUUUGUAAGGGGCUCAACAGACAUAACAUCCGGAUUCCCAGAAGUUGGUUCCAGUUUAGAGGAGGCCAAGGAGGUUUGUAACAGCCCGGAUUCCCAGGUAUUAAUUAGUCAUUUAUUUUUGUUAAUUGUGAGGGGACUCGGCGAGUCGGAGCCUAGACUCGCCGAGUAUGAUCGCGGAUUUAGACGCGGGUUCGCAUCCGGACUCGGCGAGUCCACGCUGUUUAAUGAAACCCUAAUUUCCUGACCCUAAGCCCUAUUUAAGGGGCAUUAUAGCCCUUCAUUGCGGCUACCCUCGACCUUGAGAGAUCCAGAGCAGCUGUGAGCCCUUGUGAAUGUGAAGAGAGGCCAUUAAUCACCAUUUUGUGUGUGUGCUACGAAAAAGAGAAGAGGAAGACCAAGCUAGAAGAGUUGGGGAGCUAGGAUCUAACUUCAUUUCAUCAGAAGAGGCUGAUUGAGGUAUUAUUCAGAGCUUAUUCUCGUGUUUUUGUGUAUGUAGUCAAAUCUAGGGUUUCUUCAUGCCUUGUUUGCCUUGUAUUUAGAGAGUGAGAGGUCCCAUGGAGAAAUGGUACCUAGAUCUGGACCUUAUUAGGUCCAGAGAGUCCCAAAUGCCUUGCUUUAUGCCCAUCCUUUUCAGUUGUGAACUUAGGUUGCCAUUUUAGAUGCCAUUUUCCCAAAAGAAGCCCUGUAAGCGAUGCAUGGCAACCAAGUUAGGGACUUUACAUGAUGAAUGAGCUUGGAAGGACUGGAUCUAUGAUCCUUUGGAACGGAUCUGACCUUAGAUGCAAGUUUGAGCUGUUGCAUGGCAUGGAGUCGCCGAGUCUGAAGAACAGACUCGACGAGUAGCAUGAAGAUUGCCCAGAACCACUCAGCGAGUGGUCUGGCCGAGUUGAGGGUUGACUCAGUGAAUCAGGAAGAGUCAGAGCGAGUGGGCAGGUGGACCGAGUCAAGCUGGAACUCGCCGAGUUGUUCUUGAGACUCGGCGAGUUGAGUCGUGGUGGCCCCACAACUCAUGCCAGGUGGAACUCGUCGAGUUAGGAGAAUACUCGACGUGUCGGAAGAGGAUCCAAGGGAGUCCGGGGACACGCAUAGACUCGCCGAGUCACUCGAGUGCACUCGGCGAGUCCAGUCAAAGAUUUGACCGUUGACCAUUGACCAGAGUUGACAUAUGUUGACUUGAUAAGAGCUAGUCAAUCUUAGUGGUGAAAGUGUUAACAAGGGAUAUAAUGUGUUAAAGGAGGAUUAUAGCACGGGAGAGUGACUUCAGGUAUUUGCGAAUUUACCGAGAUACGCGAGGUGAGUCUUCUCACUUUACUUUACCUUGAGUAGGUAACUAGAGUUAUGUGAUAGAGUAUUUGUAUAUUAUAUAUGCUAUGUGUUGCACUGCAUUAUUUCUAUGUGAUUUAUGCUAUGCAUGUUAUCAGAGUUAGAACCUGAGGGUUCACAGAGUUUGGGUGCACGGACCCACAGAGUUAUAGUCUCGAGUGGCUAAUAUGUGUUAUGUAUGGUAUUUUGGGAAACUCACUAAGCUUUGUGCUUACAGUGUUUAGUGUUAUUUUUUUCAGGUACUAGUGAUGACCGUGGGAAGGCGCCGGCUUGACCAGUACACACACGAGAUUUUUAUGCUAUGUGAUCUUGGGAUUUUUAUAUGAUAUGUAUUUGGGUUUCAAACAAUGGUGUUUUAUGAAAAUUAAAUGAAUUAUGUUUUUAUAAAUUGCGAAAAAUUGUUUCGAAAUUUUACGGCGUUACAAGGUUGCUUAUUCAUGGAUUGCAAGCAGAGGGCAUCAUCCUUGAGGCGGGGCUAGGUCAUUGUUACGAGAUUUAGGGAUAUCGAGCACGUGAGUUACUAGACAUCAUACGAGGUAAGUCUUCUCACUAUACUGUACCUGGAAGGGUACCUAUAUGCGACCGGAAGGUCUUGUAUGCUAUGAGAUGCAUGUGCUAUAUGUUGUUAUGGGAUAUGUAUGUGAUAUGUAUGUGUUAUGUAUGUUAUGCAUGAUAUGGACCGGAAGGUCAAGAGGUCACGAGCCGGAAGGUCGAUACGGGUAGGACUGGAAGGUCUACCGGGAUUCGGGAUGGAAGUCACCUGAGACACUUGGAUCGGAAGAUCCCACAGAGUUGAGGCCUGGAAAGGCAUAUGUGUGGUACUAGUGACGAUCGUGGGAAAGCGCCGGCAUGAUCAGUACACACACGAGGAGUUUUACAUUUUCAUGAUCUUGGGAUGUGAUGUUAUGAACUGAAUUUGUAAUACAAUGAUAUUUUGAUAACAAUUAUGAAUGCAUGUGUAUUUUUAAAAUGUGAAAAA